GAACUGCAGGUCCAGACAUUUGGUGUAUGUGCUUGGCAGAGGAGCGAACGGGGCGCAGCUACCACCUGUGGGAUUGUGACUGAACAAGUCAGAAUCCCGUCCAGGCCGAAUGAUACACAGUGCUGAAGGAACUUCGGUUGGCCUCUCCCUCGCUGCUGGUAGGGACCUGUCUAGUGCGGAAAGCCCUUCCUCCCCGGGCGCGGCAGGAAGGGGGGCCGCCCUCUUGCCAGUCACUGAACACAGAUUGUGGGGAACCUGGCGCUCAGUCAUUUGUAGAGGACCUGCUUCUGGGUUGGGGUUUCCUGUGUAGCAGAGCAGCUCCCUCACUUGGAUCUACUGAAAGUCAGCUUUCUACACAAAGAUAAAUGGUAUAUAAAAUGCAAUACCCUGCUGGCCAAAAAAAGGAACUCUUAUUCGUGGCAACAUCGAUGACCUGGAGGUCAUUACGAACAUCAACAUGGACUAAUGCUCUGAAAGUCUCACUCUGCGGAACUGCUGAACAACGCCAAUGGAUAAUGGACAACUAAGGGGAUAAAAAGCUCAGGCUAUCCCAGACAGUGAUGAAGUUUGCAAAAGAAACUCUAGACUCAUUUGCUUUAAUAUGUAUAUAUAAAAUAUUCAUGGUCAGAUGCUAUUUGAAACUAGCUAUUCAGAAAUCAAGUACACUGUGAAGUAAGAAAGUACUAGACUUCCCCCCACCCAAAGAAAAAUGCUCACUGUCUUUAUACAGCAGAACUUGAUUGGUUUGUGGACUCACAGGCUUUAUGAUUCUCCCAACAGAGGCUCCAUGAACUAGAGGAAAAGCCAUGAUAGAGUUUACACGAGAAGCAUUGACUGUUUAAGUCCAUGUAAAUGUGGCAGCAGGUACCAUGUUACUCUUUCUCAAUU